rnacentral:rRNA from 1 species
GGAAGUAUUGCACAAGGUGCGAAAGCCUGUAGCAGCGACGCCGCGUGAGCGAAAGAGUAUUCUGGUAUGUAAAGCUCUAUCAGCAGGGAAGAUAUAGACGGUACCUGACUAAGAACAGCCGGCAUAAUACGUGCCAGCAGCCGCGGUAAUACGUAUGGUGCAAGCGUUAUCCGGAUUUACUGGGUGUAAAGGGAGCGUAGGCGGUUUUACAAGUCUGAUGUGAAAGCCCGGGGCUCAACUGUGUGAUGCAUUGGAAACUGUAGAACUAGAGUGUCGGGAGGAUGAGUGGAAUCUCUAGUGUAGCGUGGAAAGUGCUAGAUAUAUGGAGAGCAACCAGUGGCGAAGGCGGCUUACUGGACGAUUACUGACGCUGAGGCUCGAAAGCGUGGGGAGCAAACAGGAUUAGAUACCCUGGUAGUCCACGCCGUAAACGAAUGAUACUAGGUGUUGGCUUCCAUAGGAGGUCGGUGCCGCAGCUAACGCAAUAAGUAUUCCACCUGGGGAGUACGUUCGCAAGAAUGAAACUCAAAGGAAUUGACGGGGACCCGC